CCUACGGGUGGCAGCAGUGGGGAAUAUUGCACAAUGGGGGAAACCCUGAUGCAGCGACGCCGCGUGAGUGACGAAGUAUCUCGGUACGUAAAGCUCUGUCAGCAGGGAAGCUAAAGACGGCACCUGCUCAUGAAGGCCCGGCUAACUACGUUCCAGCAGCCGCGGUAAUACGUAGGGGGCAAGCGUUAUCCGGAUUUUGUGGGUGUUAUGGGCGCGUAGACGGCAUCGCAAGUCUGGAGUGAAAUCCCGGGGCUUAACCCCGGAACUGCUUUGGAAACUGUGCGGCGGGAGUGCAGGAGAGGUAAGCGGAAUUCCUAGUGUAGCGGUGAAAUGCGUAGAUAUUAGGAGGAACACCGGUGGCGAAGGCGGCUUACUGGACUGUAACUGACGUUGAGGCUCGAAAGCGGGGGGAGCAAACAGGAUUAGAUACCCCAGUAGUC
rnacentral:rRNA from 1 species